UACGUAGGUGACAAGCGUUGUCCGGAUUUACUGGGCGUAAAGAGCGCGCAGGCGGUCGUUCAAGUCGAGUGUGAAAGCCCCCGGCUCAACUGGGGAGGGUCAUUCGAUACUGAUCGACUCGAAGGCAGGAGAGGGAAGUGGAAUUCCCGGUGUAGUGGUGAAAUGCGUAGAUAUCGGGAGGAACACCGAAGGCGAAGGCAGUGUCCUGGCUGGUGACUGACGCUGAGGUGCGAAAGCUAGGGGAGCGAACGGG
rnacentral:rRNA from 1 species